UACAGUCAUAUCACAUUGAAACACCGACUCUCGUACGAUCAUCGAAGUUAAGUAACGUCUAGCCUAGUCAGUACCUAGAUGGGUGACCGCUUGGAAAU
rnacentral:rRNA from 1 species